rnacentral:rRNA from 1 species
AAUGAACGCUGGCGGCGCGCCUAAUACAUGCAAGUCGAGCGAGAAGACGUAGCAAUACGUUUGUAAAGCGGCGAACGGGUGAGGAAUACAUGGGUAACCUACCUCGAGUGGGGAAUAACUAGCCGAAAGGUUAGCUAAUACCGCGUACGCUUCUUGGACUUCGGUUCAGGGAGGAAAGCGAUGCCGAGGGUAUCGCGCUCUUGGAUGGGCUCAUGUCCUAUCAGCUUGGGUUGAGGUAACGGCUCACCAAGGCUUCGACGGGUAGCUGGUCUGAGAGGACGAUCAGCCACACUGGCACUGCGACACGGG